GAUGAACGCUGGCGGCGUGCCUAAUACAUGCAAGUCGAGCGAACGGACGAGGAGCUUGCUCCUUUGACGUUAGCGGCGGACGGGUGAGUAACACGUGGAUAACCUACCUAUAAGACUGGGAUAACUUCGGGAAACCGGAGCUAAUACCGGAUAACAUGUUGAACCGCAUGGUUCAACAGUGAAAGACGGUCUUGCUGUCACUUAUAGAUGGAUCCGCGCCGCAUUAGCUAGUUGGUAAGGUAACGGCUUACCAAGGCAACGAUGCGUAGCCGACCUGAGAGGGUGAUCGGCCACACUGGAACUGAGACACGGUCCAGACUCCUACGGGAGGCAGCAGUAGGGAAUCUUCCGCAAUGGGCGAAAGCCUGACGGAGCAACGCCGCGUGAGAGAAGAAGGUCUUCGGAUCGUAAAACUCUGUUAUUAGGGAAGAACAAAUGUGUAAGUAACUAUGCACGUCUUGACGGUACCUAAUCAGAAAGCCACGGCUAACUACGUG
rnacentral:rRNA from 1 species